AUUGAACGCUGGCGGCAUGCUUUACACAUGCAAGUCGAACGGUAACAGGGAGCUUGCUCCGCUGACGAGUGGCGAACGGGUGAGUAAUGCGUCGGAACGUGCCGAGUAGUGGGGGAUAACGCAUCGAAAGGUGUGCUAAUACCGCAUACGUACUGAGGUAGAAAGUGGGGGACCUUCGGGCCUCACGCUAUUCGAGCGGCCGACGUCUGAUUAGCUAGUUGGUGAGGUAAAGGCUCACCAAGGCGACGAUCAGUAGCGGGUCUGAGAGGAUGAUCCGCCACACUGGGACUGAGACACGGCCCAGACUCCUAUGGGAGGCAGCAGUGGGGAAUUUUGGACAAUGGGCGCAAGCCUGAUCCAGCCAUGCCGCGUGUCUGAAGAAGGCCUUCGGGUUGUAAAGGACUUUUGUCCGGGAGCAAAUGCUGGUGGCUAACAUCCACCGGAGCUGAGAGUACCGGAAGAAUAAGCACCGGCUAACUACGUGCAGCCGCCGCAGUAACAC
rnacentral:rRNA from 1 species